rnacentral:rRNA from 1 species
UACAGAGGGUGCGAGCGUUAAUCGGAAUUACUGGGCGUAAAGCGCACGUAGGUGGCGACGUAAGUCGGGUGUGAAAGCCCCGGGCUCAACCUGGGAAUUGCAUUCGAGACUGCAUUGCUGGAGUACGGAAGAGGAGGGCGGAAUUCCCGGUGUAGCGGUGAAAUGCGUAGAUAUCGGGAGGAACAUCAGUGGCGAAGGCGGGAUCCUGGGCCAGUACUGACGCUGAGGAGCGAAAGCGUGGGGAGCGAACAGG